rnacentral:rRNA from 1 species
AUUGAACGCUGGCGGAAUGCUUUACACAUGCAAGUCGAACGGCAGCACGGACUUCGGUCUGGUGGCGAGUGGCGAACGGGUGAGUAAUGUAUCGGAACGUGCCCAGUCGUGGGGGAUAACGUAGUGAAAAUUACGCUAAUACCGCAUACGAUCUAUGGAUGAAAGCGGGGGAUCGCAAGACCUCGCGCGAUUGGAGCGGCCGAUAUCAGAUUAGGUAGUUGGUGGGGUAAAGGCCCACCAAGCCAACGAUCUGUAGCUGGUCUGAGAGGACGACCAGCCACACUGGAACUGAGACACGGUCCAGACUCCUACGGGAGGCAGCAGUGGGGAAUUUUGGACAAUGGGCGAAAGCCUGAUCCAGCCAUUCCGCGUGCAGGAUGAAGGCCCUCGGGUUGUAAACUGCUUUUGUACAGAACGAAAAGGUUUCUACUAAUACUAGGAGCUCAUGGCGGCACUGUAAGAAUAAGCACCGGCUAACUACGUGCCAGCAGCCGCCGUAA